CAGCCGCCGCGGGAAUACGUAGGUGGCAAGCGUUGUCCGGAAUUAUUGGGCGUAAAGGGCUCGCAGGCGGUUUCUUAAAUCUGAUGUGAAAGCCCCCGGCUCAACCGGGGAGGGUCAUUGGAAACUGGGAAACUUGAGUGCAGAAGAGGAGAGUGGAAUUCCACGUGUAGCGGUGAAAUGCGUAGAGAUGUGGAGGAACACCAGUGGCGAAGGCGACUCUCUGGUCUGUAACUGACGCUGAGGAGCGAAAGCGUGGGGAGCGAACAGGAUUAGAGACCCCCGUUAGUCCCUGUCUCUUAUA
rnacentral:rRNA from 1 species